GCACGAACAGCUCUAACUGCACUCACACAGCUCUAACUGCACUCGCACUAGCAGCUCUAACUGCACUCACACAGCUCUAACUGCACUCGCACUAGCAGCUCAUACUGUGCGAUUUUGGCAACAACAUCGGACUCUGUCGUCUUUGCUGUUUCCUUUUUCUCUGCGGCGGUUGUAAACACUUCCUGUUCCAGCGCGGUUUCAUGUUCGCUUAGAUUAAAGUUUUGAAACUUUGGGACUACGUUGUUUACAUCGGUUUGAUCCUUAAACAAGACUUGGGUGAAGAAUUUCUGUUGGGAAUCCUCGACUUCACGCUGUCUGGAAGCUUCGCUCGAAGCAAAGUUAACGGAAAUGAGCUUCUUAUUGUAAGUAACGGUGGCUAGCUAACUAGUCAGACCUCUGUCUGUUAUUAUGCAGCGACGUGGUGGUUGUUUGGAGAUAACUAGAGAUAUUUUGGUGGGAUAAUCCCCGCUGAAUCGAUGUAAACCAUCACUAAACAGUCAGUAAUAGACUAACUAGUUACUAGCCCAUAGUUAGAGUAACUUUCCUGUCUCCUCAUGUGGCUCAGGCCAGCUUUAUGAGUAACGUUAGUUAGCCAACACAGCUACAACCACGGUAAGAUUUAACAAAUAUAUCAAAUAUUAGUUUUUAUAUUAGCGUAUACAACACUAGUGUAAGUUUAUAUUUGAAACAUCAAUCCCCUGGACGCCUUUAUUAGGCCGUGUUUUCUCUUCCUCGAAGGCUCUCCAUGAAGCUUCCGCUAAAGCACUUAAGAUGAAUAAAUGAAGUUAUAAACCAUCUGUCGCGUUGGAGAGCUGAUUAAAGCCCAGACUGAUGGAGAACUGAGCAUUAGCUGAAACGAAAAAAGUUGCAAAUGAAUUAAAGCGAUUAAAAGCGACUUGUUUAAUGUUUAGAAUAUGAGCUAACCUCUUA
ensembl:lncRNA